rnacentral:rRNA from 1 species
GAUGAACGCUGGCGGCGUGCCUAAUACAUGCAAGUCGAGCGAACAGACGAGGAGCUUGCUCCUCUGACGUUAGCGGCGGACGGGUGAGUAACGCGUGGAUAACCUACCUAUAAGACUGGGAUAACUUCGGGAAACCGGAGCUAAUACCGGAUAAUAUAUUGAACCGCAUGGUUCAAUAGUGAAAGACGGUUUUGCUGUCACUUAUAGAUGGAUCCGCGCCGCAUUAGCUAGUUGGUAAGGUAACGGCUUACCAAGGCAACGAUGCGUAGCCGACCUGAGAGGGUGAUCGGCCACACUGGAACUGAGACACGGUCCAGACUCCUACGGGAGGCAGCAGUAGGGAAUCUUCCGCAAUGGGCGAAAGCCUGACGGAGCAACGCCGCGUGAGUGAUGAAGGUCUUCGGAUCGUAAAACUCUGUUAUUAGGGAAGAACAAAUGUGUAGGUAACUAUGCACGUCUUGACGGUACCUAAUCAGAAAGCCACGGCUAACUACGUG